GCCCAGCUCCCCGAGUCGGAGGCUCCCAUCCGCGCGAAGCACUUGGUACCCACGAAGGGAUGAGAGGGCAUUUGAUGAGUGGGGAUGGGAGGGCUGGAAAUUGGCAGGGUGAGAACUGGGGAGACUCGUCUGAGUUGAAUCCCUCCCUGUUCCUGCUCUUCACCCGCCCCCUUGUUGAGGGCCUUGGCUUUUGCAUAAUAAUCAGGUUAUUUGACAUGGGCCCAGCCUUGUCUGGGUACCUGGGGUUAUGCGUACUGCCUAUAUUCAGACGGUGCCAGCUGGUGACAGAUCACAGGUGAGGAUACAAAGAUGCACAAGAGAUGGAUGCAUUUCUCCAAGAUCCUCAGCCAGCCUCAAACUCAGGCAAUCAGUGUCUAGAGGAAGAGCUCUGAGUUAUAUCGCUACGCUAGACGCAUGAUGCUGCUUUGGACAAAGAAGGCGUCGGUGCUCACCGCACCCGCACACGGACAGACAGAAAGUUCUCUGCUUCCUUCGGGCCUUUCCUUCCACCACCCAGGGGCUCCCAGCCGAGCCUGAGGCUGCUGUGUUUUCUUUUUUCUCUCCCACACUGUCUUGCCUGGUGGCUUCAGCAAAAACACACACACACACACACACACACACACACACACACACACACACACACACACACGGGAUUCCAAGGAGAGAAGUACUGUAGGACACAAUGGGCACGGCUCAUGAGGUGCCAGCAGAAUGCGGGGAAGUCAGGUCAAGAGCGGCGCACAGUCCCAUGACUUAGGCUACCUUGCAGGAGCUUACUGAAUGCGUGUGAUUUUUAACAUCUUCAAGUUGGAUCUCCUCCAGGCCCGCCAGCUGGAGCUCUCAGUCCGACUCAGCUCGCCUUAACUCAAUUAACUAAGCUGGGUUGAGCCGGGCUGAGCUGAACUCAACAAGUAUUUCUUAAGCACUGAGCUGGCUGCAGGGGAAAAAAAACCAAGAGGGCGAGCCACAGACUUUGCCAGACUCAGCCCUUUAAGGAGAUGCCUUGCGCUCUUACAGGAUAACACGGUGCCGUGUUUUCUAGGUACCACUGUCACAGGUUUCCACGUCUGCACUCCCCUCUGUGCUAUGACUGACUUCAUAUUUUCCCUUAAAUAAAUCAUUUUUUCUCAAAGUA